UUUCCGUAGGUGAACCUGCGGAAGGAUCAUUAUUGUAUAACCGAGGUGCGAGGGCUGUCGCUGACCCGAAAGGUCGUGCACGCCCGAGUGCCCUCACACACAUCCAUCUCACCCCUAUGUGCACCACCGCGCGGGUCCCCCUUUGGCUUGUUCGGAGGGGGGCUUACGUUUUCACACAAACUUUGUAUGCAGUGUAGAAUGUAUUUUUUGUUUUUGCGAUCACGCAAUCAAUACAACUUUCAACAACGGAGCUCUUGGCUCUCGCAUCGAUGAAGAACGAGC
rnacentral:misc_RNA from 1 species